rnacentral:rRNA from 1 species
UACGUAGGGUGCGAGCGUUACUCGGAAUUACUGGGCGUAAAGCGUGCGCAGGCGGUUUUGUAAGCCAGAUGUGAAAUCCCCGGGCUUAACCUGGGAAUGACAUUUGGGACUGCAAGGCUUGAGUGCGGCAGAGGAGACUGGAAUUCCUGGUGUAGCAGUGAAAUGCGUAGAUAUCAGGAGGAAUACCGAUGGCGAAGGCAGGUCUCUGGGCUGACACUGACGCUCAUGCACGAAAGCGUGGGGAGCAAACAGG